rnacentral:rRNA from 1 species
CAACCCUUGCCUUUAGUUGCCAGCAGUUCGGCUGGGCACUCUAAAGGGACUGCCGGUGUUAAACCGGAGGAAGGUGGGGAUGACGUCAAGUCCUCAUGGCCUUUAUGACCAGGGCUACACACGUACUACAAUGGCCGAUACAAAGGGCAGCGACACUGCGAGGUGAAGCCAAUCCCGUAAAAUCGGUCUCAGUCCGGAUUGGAGUCUGCAACUCGACUCCAUGAAGUUGGAAUCGCUAGUAAUCGUGGAUCAGCAUGCCACGGUAGAAUACGUUCCCGGGCCUU